rnacentral:rRNA from 1 species
AUGCCACUUAAUGCAUGUCACUCCAAGGCGGCAUUUCGGGAACAAGACGCGCUCGCUCGACAACAGCUGCUGCAAGUUGUUGCCGCUGCCUGCCUGCCUAUUAAAAGGAGGCAAAAAGAAGAAGAAAAAGAGUUUGUCGUUGGGAGAUCAAGCAAACAAAGGAAGAAGCAGAGUGUGCCGAGGAAGACGAAGAAGCAAGCAAGGCCAUGGAAUGGUAUGGUUGAGGACGUAUGUGUUUACCGUAGAUUUUCUUCCAGUGGUGGUAGAAGGCGAGGACGCGGGGGAGGACGUUGUGGGAGCGGUAGGGUGGCGGCAUUGGCUUGGCGGAGGCGGCCACCAUGA